ACUCAGUCAGAUGGGUGAGAUAUUAUUAUUAUUAUUAUUAUUAUUAUUAUAAUAUCUCACCCAUCUGACUGAGU
rnacentral:miRNA from 1 species